rnacentral:lncRNA from 1 species
AUUUUUAUAUUGUUCAUAUAUUAAAAAAUUAAUUUUUAUUGUAAUGAAAUAUAUGGUAUUAUAAUUUUCUGCUUUUAUACACUGUGUAUAUGAUGAUAGCCAUUUCAGAUCCAAAUGCAUAUCAGUUUUAGAAUGGUGGAAAUUUUAAACAUAAUAUCAACAUGUUUAAAAUUAUACAUGUGCAACACCAUAAAUGAAAUCUAUGAAAAGGUAAUAGAGAUGAAAUCAAUAAGCACCAAAUUUCAAGUGGAAAAACAGUUUAUUAUAGCUUUGUGGAAUACUUUUGACUUAAAGAAGUCAUUUUCAACAUUUACAAAUCAAUAGAACAGAAUACAUAACAUUUCCAAACAAGAAGCGUAGAUGGAAU